rnacentral:rRNA from 1 species
UACGGAGGGUGCAAGCGUUAUCCGGAUUUACUGGGUUUAAAGGGUGCGUAGGUGGGUCUGUAAGUCAGUGGUGAAAUCUCCGAGCUUAACUCGGAAACUGCCAUUGAUACUAUAGGUCUUGAAUUAUCUGGAGGUAAGCGGAAUAUGUCAUGUAGCGGUGAAAUGCUUAGAUAUGACAUAGAACACCAAUUGCGAAGGCAGCUUACUACGGAUUGAUCGACACUGAGGCACGAAAGCGUGGGGAUCAAACAGG